rnacentral:misc_RNA from 1 species
CACUCCACGACCCACUCAGCACCCCGUUGUGGUCAUCUCUUCGCUUCUCGCACUCCUCUGCUUAAGCAGAUACACACGCACACAUACACAGAUACUCUGUUCCCAACCUCACUCGCGCACCAAGCCUUAGCGAGGGCCUCCCACGUUGGAAUAAGCCGUUCUACGUCCCCUGACUCACCACCACAGCCGUCACUUGGCCCGGCACGUCUCCUUCACCGUCAUCAUGCCCAAAAUUGAUACCGACGUCUCUGCCCACCACCACUACGACGCCUAUCAGCUACCCGGGGACGGGUCAACACCGGCCUCGCAUGUGGCCGCGUCGCUCCCGAAGAUCCUGACGACUCAGCCCGAACUGCCGCACCAGCAAAACACUAAAACUGCAUCCGCGCGCUACCAUGAGCAGUUCGGCCUUCCGUCCUUCGACGAUCAUGUCUUCGUCAUCUUCGGUUAUGGCUCCAUCCUGUGGAAGCAGAACUUUGAGUUCGACGCGGAGUACGAGACGUACAUCAAGGGCUACAAGCGCGUUUUCUACCAGGGCUCACGCGAUCACCGCGGUGUGCCGGACAAGCCGGGCCGCGUGGUGACGCUGCUGCCCUCGGAGGACAAGGAGCAGCGCGUGUAUGGCAAGGCGUACCAACUGCCGGCGGACCCUGAGAAGCUGAACAAGAUCUUCCAGGCGUUGGAUGUGCGCGAAGGCGGAUAUGAUCGCGUGCAGCUGACCCUGUUCAACGCGCACCCGACGACCGGCAACCUGACUACGACGCCGAUACUGCCUGCAUCGAUGCCCAAGUCCUUCAAGACCGAGAGCUCCACCCAAUACGUGCCGCCUCCGCGCCAGAAUUCUUCCGAUGUCGAAGCCGGUGACGCGGAGGAGGUGCUCGACAUCUUCAGCCACCCGAACGCACCAGCGGUGCAGCCGCGCAAGAACGUCGUGUGCCUAUGCUACAUUGCGACGGAGCAGAACGAGGGGUACGUCGGUGAGGCCUCGAUGGAGGCGAUGGCAGAGGAGAUUCUGAGCUGCGCCGGCGUCAGUGGUUCGAACCGUGAGUACCUUUUCUUCCUUGCCGACUGCCUUCGUGCGAUGGGGGCGACCGACCCGCACGUUUUCGAGCUCGACGCAGUCGCGAAGCGCAUCCUGCGUGGUCGGGAGGCGGAGUUUGCCGCCGGCGCGAAGCGGGUCGCCACGAUGGCGUAAAAAGUAAGUGGCUCUCCUCCUCUCUGUUUUUUUUUUCUCACAUCACCUGUGUGCGGCGCGGUGCGCUGAAAUAUCUGUGCCACGUGUGUGAUCCACGCAGAUGUUCGCACGCGCUGUCGGCUGGUGCGUGUGGGGGAGCACGCCUGUGUCGGAGCACAUGCAUAACGGUGUCUCUCUCUGCAAGAGCAUGGUAUCUCCCAUUGGAAGGUAGGCAUGCAUACCUGCAUCUGUACAAUCUAUACACACGCACACACGUAUUUUGGCGAGAAUUGGGUGUAUUUCUUUGUUUUAAGUGGCUGGAUACCUCGGCCUGUGUGUCGCAUGCUGAUAUGGGGCUGUGUCUGCGAUGCGGUUGUCAUGUAUGUAUCUCUCUUCGUCGUCGCAUCUUACGCGGGAGCGCGAAAAGAGGUGGGUGGCGAUGCAUGCUCGCGCCGAUGGGCAGUUGUGCGGUCGUGUCCUCCUCCCUCCCUCCCCCCUCCUCUCGCUCUCGCUGGCUGGUAACAGUAAUGGUAUGCGAGGCUUCAGACGCGCUCAGCAACGUCACAAGGGCGGCUGCCACACAAGCACACAAACCUCACACGACCCUCCAUUCUCUCUGUAUAUGUUGUAUGUAUCUCUGCUUCUCUCCGUCUCCGCUGGUUUCUUUGACGCAUUUUUCUUCGUGAUUUAAUUCGUUCACGAACCCGCGCAUGCGGUGCUUCUCCCCUUCCUCUGUGCGUCUUGGUCUGUGUGGAUGGCGCUCGUAAAGGCGUUGGCGUCCGGGUGAGGUUGUGCGCGCACUUGCAUGUGAGUGUAAGCAUAUAUGCGCAUGCCGGCCAUGUCGUGACUUGAAGGCGACUUCACCUAGAACCGUGUGACGCACGCACGCCCCGAUGCACAGUUCGUGAGUGCGCACAUGCACACGCUCACGACUGUCAGUGUGGGGUGUCGCGGCCUCUUUUUUGCCUUGUUGUGCUCGGCUUUCGACGAACACACAAGGAUGUGUUCACUGCGUACAGGUGCAUGCAUGCAUCUAUCUAUCUAUAUAUAUAUAUAUAUGUGUGUGUGUGUAUGUGUUAAGCUUUUCAUAAGCUCUAAAAAUACGCCGAUGGCACGGCGGGCGGGAGGCGGUGGCUUUGGCUCUGCCCUCCGCCCUCCUCCGCGCGACCCACAAAUCUAGUCUGGUCUGGUCCAUCAUCAUUAUGUCGCUCUUUUCUUCCGCUCUCUGUGAUACAUGGAGACACAUACACACACAGCGAGAGAGAGAAAUGAGGGCCGAAGAAAAGCAGCGACCCAAGUCGAGUUGCUUGCUUGUAAAAGGCAGGGCGAUGACGCCUCUGCACGGCGCUGUGUGUGUGCCGAUGGCUUCCUUCCUACUUUUCUGCCUUUUCUUUGUGCAGCGUUUCGCGCAUGGGGCGAGUACGUUCGAAACACAAAUGACGGAAAUGGUGCAUACAACGUGGAGACGACAGACGCUUCCAUGAGGGAUGGGGGAGAGGGGUAUUUACGACGAUCAAGAAGUAGAAGAGAAGGAAAGGUCAGCACGCGCUUGCUUGCUCGUCUGGCUGCCUGUGCACGUGUUGGCUUGCUCCUUCUUGUCUUUGCAUUCGCGUUUCGCUGGCUCGUGUUCGUUUUUCGCUUAUUUGUCGGUGCGUGAUGCAUGUGUGCAAGCACUCCCCCUUUCCCUUUUACUCUUCUCCCUCUUAGCACAUCCUCCCGUAUCGACUCCUCUUGAACUCCCACCCACCCCACUCCGCACACUCUUACCACACUUGCAUCACCGGCCUAUCUUCACCACUGUACCCUCUCCCCUCUUUCUUCUCCCUUACGUUCCUUCUUUGUGGCUUCUUCAUUUGUGUCUACUCACUCUCUCUUGCCUUCAUCAUCUCAAAAUACGAUGUCUGUUCCUGUACUUCGGCGUGCAUGUGUACAUGUGUCUGGCAGCUUCAGCGGUGUGGCCAUGCGUGACAGCUCUCACAUUGGUUAAUUUCUUUUCGCUGAUGUUGGCGAACUUCUUCGUCUCCCUCCAUCCUACUCGGCUUAUUUUUCUCGCAAGUCUCGUGUGCUGGUCGUCGGUGUUGCAGUCUCCGUAUGUAGAUGACGGCGCCACCCCUCCCGCCAUCAUCCCGUCUCCUCGUCUCUCUGCUACAUUAAUAAGGGGCGAGAGAGGGGUCACCUCCUUGGAUGUUGUGCAAGGGAGCGGCGCAUCCGAUGGCCACGGCACUUCUUGGCAUGCGCAUCUCAACGAGGAAAACCAUUAGAAAGUGGAUCGGGACGGACAGCACGUACACGUCGAUCUCUGUCCGUCUGUGUGUUUGUGUGUGUGCACGCAUGCAUACAUGUGUGCGUGUGUGUG